rnacentral:rRNA from 1 species
GUGAGGAAUUUUCCGCAAUGGGCGAAAGCCUGACGGAGCAAUGCCGCGUGAAGGAUGAAGGCCUAUGGGUUGUAAACUUCUUUUCUCAGAAAAGAAUUAUGACGGUAUCUGAGGAAUAAGCAUCGGCUAACUCUGUGCCAGCAGCCGCGGUAAGACAGAGGAUGCAAGCGUUAUCCGGAAUGAUUGGGCGUAAAGCGUCUGUAGGUUGUUUAAAAAGUAUUCUGUCAAAGAUUAGGGCUUAACCCUAGAUAGGCAGAAUAAACUUUUAAGCUAGAGUUUGGUAGAGGCAGAGGGAAUUCCCGGUGGAGCGGUGAAAUGCGUAGAUAUCGGGAGGAACACCAAAGGCGAAGGCACUCUGCUGGGCCAAUACUAACACUGAGAGACGAAAGCGAGGGGAGCAAAUGGGAUUAGAUACCCUGUAGUCC